rnacentral:rRNA from 1 species
GACGUAGGGCGCGAGCGUUGUCCGGAUUUAUUGGGCGUAAAGAGCUCGUAGGCGGCUUGUUGCGUCGGCUGUGAAAUCCCAUGGCUCAACUGUGGGCUUGCAGCCGAUACGGGCGGGCUAGAGUUCGGUAGGGGAGACUGGAAUUCCUGGUGUAGCGGUGAAAUGCGUAGAUAUCUGGAGGAAUACCGGUGGCGAAGGCGGCAUCCUGGACCGACAUUGACGCUGAACGGCGAAAGCUAGGGGAGCAAACGGG